rnacentral:lncRNA from 1 species
CUAGCUUGCAUGUUGAUAAUAUCUUUGCCAACUCGUGCUUAGCUUGCAUACAACUCGCGCUUAGCUUGCAAGUGGCCCACAAGUGGACAAGUUGUGCAAGUUGUCCACUUGCAUCCUCAAAAUAUCAGGCUGCAGGUCCAUGUAUUUUUCCUCUCAAAAUGGCUGGGUCGGGACUUACAAAAACCUCAUUAAUGCCCUGGAAAACUGCACGAUCUAGGCAGCCUGCAUUCUUCCCCAAAAUAGUCUACUUGCGUCCCCAGCCUGUGUCGACCUACAUCCCUUGCCGAAUCUGCUUGCGUCCCCUAUCGCAAGCUAUUCCGUCCUUUUGAAACGCGUUACCCGCGCCAUCUUGCGAUCGCUACCGGGACGAAUCGAAUGCGAUCGCGUGAGGCAUAAGUCACUCCCCCACUGAAUUUGACGAUGCACUCAUCGCCAUAAAUCGCUGAAGCAUAGACCUUAUUUGCCAUAAGUCUAUCUCGUUUUCCCACCUUGUGCCAUGACAUUCCCGUGUCAUGCCAAGUUUCAAGUCAUGACCUUGCGAUCCGUG